UAACUGAAGAGUUUGAUCAUGGCUCAGAUUGAACGCUGGCGGCAGGCUUAACACAUGCAAGUCGAGCGGGGGAAGGUAGCUUGCUACUGGACCUAGCGGCGGACGGGUGAGUAAUGCUUAGGAAUCUGCCUAUUAGUGGGGGACAACAUCUCGAAAGGGAUGCUAAUACCGCAUACGUCCUACGGGAGAAAGCAGGGGAUCUUCGGACCUUGCGCUAAUAGAUGAGCCUAAGUCGGAUUAGCUAGUUGGUGGGGUAAAGGCCUACCAAGGCGACGAUCUGUAGCGGGUCUGAGAGGAUGAUCCGCCACACUGGGACUGAGACACGGCCCAGACUCCUACGGGAGGCAGCAGUGGGGAAUAUUGGACAAUGGGGGGAACCCUGAUCCAGCCAUGCCGCGUGUGUGAAGAAGGCCUUAUGGUUGUAAAGCACU
rnacentral:rRNA from 1 species